UGGCGGCGUGCUUAACACAUGCAAGUCGAACGAUGAACCAGGAGCUUGCUCUUGGGGAUUAGUGGCGAACGGGUGAGUAACACGUGAGUAACCUGCCCUUGACUCUGGGAUAAGCGUUGGAAACGACGUCUAAUACCGGAUACGAGCUUCCACCGCAUGGUGAGUUGCUGGAAAGAAUUUUGGUCAAGGAUGGACUCGCGGCCUAUCAGCUUGUUGGUGAGGUAAUGGCUCACCAAGGCGACGACGGGUAGCCGGCCUGAGAGGGUGACCGGCCACACUGGGACUGAGACACGGCCCAGACUCCUACGGGAGGCAGCAGUGGGGAAUAUUGCACAAUGGGCGAAAGCCUGAUGCAGCAACGCCGCGUGAGGGACGACGGCCUUCGGGUUGUAAACCUCUUUUAGCAGGGAAGAAGCGAAAGUGACGGUACCUGCAGAAAAAGCACCGGCUAACUACGUGCCAGCAGCCGCGGUAAUACGUAGGGUGCAAGCGUUGUCCGGAAUUAUUGGGCGUAAAGAGCUCGUAGGCGGUUUGUCGCGUCUGCUGUGAAAUCCCGAGGCUCAACCUCGGGUCUGCAGUGGGUACGGGCAGACUAGAGUGCGGUAGGGGAGAUUGGAAUUCCUGGUGUAGCGGUGGAAUGCGCAGAUAUCAGGAGGAACACCGAUGGCGAAGGCAGAUCUCUGGGCCGCUACUGACGCUGAGGAGCGAAAGGGUGGGGAGCAAACAGGCUUAGAUACCCUGGUAGUCCACCCCGUAAACGUUGGGCGCUAGAUGUGGGGACCAUUCCACGGUUUCCGUGUCGUAGCUAACGCA
rnacentral:rRNA from 1 species